UUUCGCAAUGCCCGAAAGGGUGACGAAGCGACGCCGCGUGCGGGAAGAAGGCCUUCGGGUUGUAAACCGCUGUCGGGAGUUAAGAAAUGUAAGGAUGUUAAUAGCAUCUUUGCUUGACUAAGGCUCCGGAGGAAGCCACGGCUAACUCUGUGCCAGCAGCCGCGGUAAUACAGAGGCGGCAAGCGUUGUUCGGAAUUAUUGGGCGUAAAGAGCACGUAGGCGGCUAUGUAAGUCGGUUGUGAAAGCCUUCCGCUCAACGGGAGAACAGCAUCCGAUACUGCAUGGCUUGAGUGCGGGAGGGGAGAGUGGAACUUCUGGUGGAGCGGUGAAAUGCGUAGGUAUCAGAAGGAACGCCGGCGGCGAAAGCGGCUCUCUGGCCCAUAACUGACGCUGAGUGUGCGAAAGCUAGGGGAGCAAACGGGAUUAGAUACCCCGGUAGUCCUAGCCGUAAACGAUGGGCACUAAGUAGAGGGGUUUUAAUCUC
rnacentral:rRNA from 1 species